ncrna:Lactobacillus paragasseri K7 DTF3800-I RNA
UAAGAGUGCAGUUAAUGUGUAUAAAAACUGUACACUCGUGUACCCGAAUUAACGUUUAAGCGAUAUGUAAUAUCGUCGGCCACGGGGCCGCCCCUUACAUUGGGGCGGUUUUUUUUUGG